UACGUAGGGGGCAAGCGUUGUCCGGAAUCAUUGGGCGUAAAGAGCGUGUAGGCGGCUCGAUAAGUCUGCUGUGAAAGUCCAGGGCUCAACCCUGGAAGGCCGGUGGAUACUGCCGGGCUAGAGUCCGGGAGAGGCGAGUGGAAUUCCUGGUGUAGCGGUGGAAUGCGCAGAUAUCAGGAGGAACACCUAAGGCGAAGGCAGCUCGCUGGAACGGUACUGACGCUGAGGCGCGAAAGCGUGGGGAGCAAACAGG
rnacentral:rRNA from 1 species